rnacentral:rRNA from 1 species
CUCGGUGCUAGUGGCGGACGGGUGAGUAACGCGUGAAAAUCUGCCUUCAGGUGGGGGACAACAGUUGGAAACGACUGCUAAUACCGCAUAUGUCGCAAGAUGAAAGAUUUAUUGCCUGAAGAUGAGUUCGCGUCCGAUUAGCUAGUUGGUGAGGUAAGAGCUUACCAAGGCGAUGAUCGGUAGCUGGUUUGAGAGGACAACCAGCCACACUGGGACUGAGACACGGCCCAGACUCCUACGGGAGGCAGCAGUGGGGAAUUUUCCGCAAUGGGCGCAAGCCUGACGGAGCAAUACCGCGUGGGGGAUGAAGGUUUGUGGAUUGUAAACCCCUUUUCUCUAGGAAGAACACAAUGACGGUACUAGAGGAAUAAGCAUCGGCUAACUCCGUGCCAGCAGCCGCGGUAAGACGGAGGAUGCAAGCGUUAUCCGGAAUUAUUGGGCGUAAAGGGUCCGUAGGUGGCUAAUCAAGUCUGCUUUUAAAGAGUGGAGCUUAACUCCAUAGAGGGAGUGGAAACUGAUUAGCUAGAGUGAGGAAGGGGUAAGAGGAAUUCCCAGUGUAGCGGUGAAAUGCGUAGAUAUUGGAAGAACACCAGCAGCGAAGGCGUCUUACUGGUCCUCAACUGACACUGAUGGACGAAAGCUAGGGGAGCGAAAGGGAUUAGAUACCCCUGUAGUCCUAGCUGUAAACGAUGAACACUAGGUGUUGCGCGUAUCGACCCGUGCAGUGCCGUAGCCAACGCGUUAAGUGUUCCGCCUGGGGAGUACGGUCGCAAGAUUGAAACUCAAAGGAAUUGACGGGGGCCCGCACAAGCGGUGGAGUAUGUGGUUUAAUUCGAUGCAACGCGAAGAACCUUACCAGGAUUUGACAUCCUAU